AGGGUAGGGCGCAGCUUAAACAUCGCGAGAGACACACACCGACACAAAAAGGCUGUUGAUGGUUUCAGUAUUAAAUACGUUCUUCCCCAGUCUCUACCAAAUGCAGAGGAGGCUAUGUGUGCGAAAGGCUGCGGACGCUGGCAAUGUGAGACAGGGCAGGAAGAGAGUUUAGUGUGUUUUUUUUAAGGGUAAAGGAAGAGAAAUGAGUCAAUUGCUUAAAGGAUCAUGUGUUAAACCUUCUUUCGAAAUACUCUAUUUACGUGGGAUUGUAUUUCAAGAUUUCCAGCAUCUGCAGUUCUUUGUUCAUUAUCAUAGACUUUGAUGGAAUGCAUAUAACAUUGACACAGUUCAAUUCGAAGCUCUCUGCUAAGGUGUCUCACAUGGGCAAGUAUUUGGUUCUCACUGCUGUUUGAUUCUCAGAAAAGAGACUGUUGUUAGCUCUGAUGUCUGUCACCUGAUUAAAUAUUCCUGGGGAAGCAAUCAUUUCCUUCAGCCUCCAUGGAAUAAAUGAGACAUUUGUGGUGACAAUGUAUAGAAGACUUAAUAAUUACAAGAUUUCAAACCAGUCCAGACACCAGAUACAGAUGAAUCAAGGACCAGCAGAAUGAAGAUAAAACAUAUUUUUAUAUAUCUGGAAUUACAGCAGAAGACAAAGUCGGGACAGCAAAGCAACAGAGCACAGAUGCGCCACGAAAUGAUCCCCGAGUCUGCAUUUGGGCUCACAGAUGUAGAGGAGGCCACAUCGGGAGCAAUGGAUACAGUAAACCAGGUUGGAGGAUGUACAAGUGAACCCCUGUCAGAUAUG